GGGUCCGUGGCGCAGAUGGGAGCGCGCUGGAUUCUCAGUCCAGAGGUCGGAGGUUCGAGUCCUUCCGGACCCACCA
rnacentral:tRNA from 1 species